rnacentral:tRNA from 1 species
GAAAGUAUAGCUCAGUGGUAGAGCAUGUGCUUAGCAUGCACUAGGUUCUGGGUUCAAUCCCCAGCACCUCCA